rnacentral:rRNA from 1 species
AGUGAACGCUGGCGGUAGGCCUAACACAUGCAAGUCGAACGGCAGCACAGUAAGAGCUUGCUCUUACGGGUGGCGAGUGGCGGACGGGUGAGGAAUACAUCGGAAUCUACUUUUUCGUGGGGGAUAACGGAGGGAAACUUACGCUAAUACCGCAUACGACCUACGGGUUGAAUCAGUGGAUCUUCGGACCUUGCGCGAUUGUAUGAGCCGAUGUCGGAUUAGCUAGUUGGCAGGGUAAAGGCCCACCAAGGCGACGAUCCGUAGCUGGUCUGAGAGGAUGAUCAGCCACACUGGAACUGAGACACGGUCCAGACUCCUACGGGAGGCAGCAGUGGGGAAUAUUGGACAAUGGGCGCAAGCCUGAUCCAGCAAUACCGCGUGGGUGAAGAAGGCCUUCGGGUUGUAAAGCUCUUUUGUUGGGAAAGAAAAGCAGCAGGUUAAUACCCCGCUGUUCUGACGGUACCCAAAGAAUAAGCAACGGCUAACUUCGUG